CCACAAGUGGUCAUCACGAUUAUUGGGCCUAAAGCGUCCGUAGCUGGUGCGGUGCAUCCCUUGUGAAAUUGUUCGGCUUAACCGAACAGCGUGCAGGGGACACGGCCGCGCUCGAGAUUGGGAGGGGGUAGAAGUAUUCCAUAGGGACCGGUAAAAUGGGAUAAUCUAUGGAGGACUACCGAUGGCGAAGGCAUCUACCCAGAACAAAUCUGACAGUGAGGGACGAAAGCCAGGGGAGCGAACCG
rnacentral:rRNA from 1 species